rnacentral:rRNA from 1 species
UUGGCGGACGGGUGAGUAACGCGUGGGUAACCUGCCUCACACUGGGGGAGUAACAGUUAGAAAUAGCUGCUAAUACCGCAUAAGCGCACGGUUCCGCAUGGAACAGUGUGAAAAACUCCGGUGGUGUGAGAUGGACCCGCGUCUGAUUAGCCAGUUGGCGGGGUAACGGCCCACCAAGCGACGAUCAGUAGCCGGCCUGAGAGGGUGAACGGCCACAUUGGGACUGAGACACGGCCCAA